GAUGAACGCUGGCGGCGUGCCUAAUACAUGCAAGUCGAGCGAACAGACGAGGAGCUUGCUCCUCUGACGUUAGCGGCGGACGGGUGAGUAACACGUGGAUAACCUACCUAUAAGACUGGGAUAACUUCGGGAAACCGGAGCUAAUACCGGAUAAUAUAUUGAACCGCAUGGUUCAAUAGUGAAAGACGGUUUUGCUGUCACUUAUAGAUGGAUCCGCGCCGCAUUAGCUAGUUGGUAAGGUAACGGCUUACCAAGGCAACGAUGCGUAGCCGACCUGAGAGGGUGAUCGGCCACACUGAACCUGGGACACGGUCCAAACUCCUACGGGAGGCAGAGGUAGGGAAUCUUCCGCAAUGGGGGAAGGCCUGCCGGGGCAACGCCGCGUGAGUAAUGAAGGUCUUCGAUUCGUAAACCUUUGUUAUAAGGAAGGAACAAAGGUGAAGGUACCAAUGCCCGUCUGAACGUUACCUAAUAAGAAAGCCCCGGUUACCUACGU
rnacentral:rRNA from 1 species